CAGCGUUAUCCGGAAUCAUUGGGCGUAAAGCGCCUGUAGGUUGUUUAAUAAGUCUGUUGUUAAAGACUAGGGCUCAACCCUAGAAAAGCAAUGGAAACUACUAGACUAGAGUAUGGCAGGGGUAGAGGGAAUUUCUAGUGUAGCGGUGAAAUGCGUAGAUAUUAGAAAGAACACCGGUGGCGAAAGCGCUCUACUGGACCAUUACUGACACUCAGAGGCGAAAGCUAGGGUAGCAAAAGGGAUUAGAUACCCCUGUAGUCCUAGCCGUAAACGAUGGAUACUAGAUGUUGUGCAUAACGUACAGUAUCGUAGCUAACGCGUUAAGUAUCCCGCCUGGGGAGUACGCUCGCAAGGGUGAAACUCAAAGGAAUUGACGGGGGCCCGCACAAGCGGUGGAGCAUGUGGUUUAAUUCGAUGCAACGCGAAGAACCUUACCAGGGCUUGACAUACUACAAAUUCUUUUGAGAAAAAGAAGUGCCUUCGGGAAUGUAGAUACAGGUGGUGCAUGGCUGUCGUCAGCUCGUGUCGUGAGAUGUUGGGUUAAGUCCCGCAACGAGCGCAACCCUUAUUUUUAGUUACUAAUUCGUUAGGUUCUCUAGAAAGACUGCCGGUGACAAACCGGAGGAAGGUGAGGAUGACGUCAAGUCAGCAUGCCCCUUAUGUCCUGGGCUACACACGUGCUACAAUGGUUAAGACAAAGAGUCGCGAGCUCGUGAGAGUCAGCUAAUCUCAUAAACUUAGCCUAAGUUCAGAUUGUAGGCUGCAA
rnacentral:rRNA from 1 species